rnacentral:rRNA from 1 species
AUUGAACGCUGGCGGCAUGCCUUACACAUGCAAGUCGAGCGGCAGCGCGGGCUUCGGCCUGGCCUCGAGUGGCGAACGGGUGAGUAAUGCAUCCGAACAUGCCCAGUAGUGGGGGAUAGCCUGGCGAAAGCCGGCCUAAUACCGCACACGACCUGAGGGUGAAAGGGGGGGAUCGAAAGUCCUCGCCCUAUUUGAGGGGCCGUUGUCGGAUUAGCUAGUUGGUGGGGUAAAGGCUUACCAAGGCGACGAUCCGUAGCUGGUCUGAGAGGACGACCAGCCACACUGGGACUGAGACACGGCCCAGACUCCUACGGGAGGCAGCAGUGGGGAAUUUUGGACAAUGGGCGAAAGCCUGAUCCAGCCAUGCCGCGUGCGUGAAGAAGGUCUUCGGGUUGUAAAACUCUUUUGUUCGGGAAGAACUCCUGUGGGCUAAUACCUCGGGGGGUUGACGGUACCGGAAGAAUAAGCACCGGCUAACUACGUG